GACGAACGCUGGCGGCGUGCUUAACACAUGCAAGUCGAACGGAAAGGCCCUGCUUUUGUGGGGUGCUCGAGUGGCGAACGGGUGAGUAACACGUGAGUAACCUGCCCUUGACUUUGGGAUAACUUCAGGAAACUGGGGCUAAUACCGUAUAGGAGCUCCUGCUGCAUGGUGGGGGUUGGAAAUUUUAGGCGGUUGGGGCUGGACUCGCGGCUUAUCAGCUUGUUGGUGGGGUAGUGGCUUACCAAGGCUUUGACGGGUAGCCGGCCUGAGAGGGUGACCGGCGACAAUGGGACUGAGAUACGGAGCAGACUGCUACGGGAGGCAGCAGGGGCGAAUAUUGCACAAUGGGCGGAAGCCUGAUGCAGAAACGCCGCGUGCGGGAUGACGGCCUUCGGGUUGUAAACAGCUUUCGCCUGUGACGACGCGUGAGUGACGGUAAUGGGUAAAGAAGCACCGGCUAACUACGUG
rnacentral:rRNA from 1 species